CCCUCCCCUGUCCCACCCUCUCCCUUCCCACACCUGGAGACUCAGACCCCCCCCCAGGGCUGUGGACGACUGGCACAGUGGGACACAAGCAUCACUUACAAUCAGAAAAGAUCCCUGAUGAAAGCGCAUGAAGGAACACAAAGCAGGCGACCGCACGUCUAUGAACACGCUCACGGGACGGUGCACAGAGCAGGCGACCACACGUCUAUAAACACACAGCACGGUGGCCCCGGUGGCUCACGCCUGUCAUCCCAGCACUUUGGGAGGCCGAGGAGGGCGGAUCACCUGAGGUCAGGAGUUUGAGACCAGCCUGGCCAAUAUGGUGAAACCCUGCCUCUACUAAAAAUACAAAAAAUUAGCUGGGCGUGGUGGCGUGUGCCUGUAGUUCCAGCUACUUGGGAGGCUGAGGCAGGAGAAUCACUUGAACCCGGGAGGCGGAGGUUGCAGUGAGCCAAGAUUGUGCCACUGCACUCCAGCCUGGGCGACAGAGCAAGACUCCAUCUAAAAAAAAGAAAAAUGAUUACAGCAGAAACACACCGAAGUAUUAGCUCUGAAUCCCGCUCGGCAGUGAAACUAGAUGUUGCUUUAUGAUUUUAAAAAACUCGCUAUGAUGAACAUGUAUCUUCUUCAUAAGAGAAAGAGUCAAGUUUACUCUGAGUCAUCAUUGCAGAUUUCCUGUGAAGCAGAGGCACCUCUGGGCCGCACCCAGGCCUGGGACCGCCCUGAGCCUGAGCCCCUCACACAGUGCAGCCCCAGCCCUGCCUCGGAGAAGCCCAGGCCAGGGUGAAGCAUGGGACCGGGGGAGUCGGACCGUGGCCCUGGAGCUCAGGGUGCUGCAGCCUGGGGUGUCGGCGUUAUUCCCACGCAUCUCCACAGCUCCCACGGCGCCCGCCUCGUGAAGUGGGCACCCACCCCGCGGACCUGCUGGCGGAGCCGGUGGUGUACUGUGAACUGACUUAUGAAACCACCUCUGCAAGGCAAAACAGGCCAUUGGCCACUGGGCCCCGUGAACCUGUCCCUGUGUGUCAGUGCGUCUGCAUCUCUUCCAUCUUACAAACCGUGUGUCAGCCACCUGCUGCUGUGUGCCUGUGGCGGGACCCUCGCUGCAGGGAAUGCUGCGUUCUUGGUGUUUGCUUACACAACGUGUUCCUAUUUCCUUUCCCAAAUCUGCAAGCACUCCUUGCAGAUAAAACAGCUCAGACCGGGAGAGGCCAAGAGAACACGGAGGUCCUGAAGCCCCCUGUGCUUGAGUCAGGAGCCCAGAGGCUGGUGCCACAGCUCCAAGCAGGCAGCUCCAAACCUCAGCACCCACAGCCACAGUGUGGAUGACAUCAGUGGCAGGUAAAUUGACUGUACAGUAAGUGUACAAGGCCAGGCACGGUGGCUCAUGCCUGUAAUCCCAACACUUUCGGAGGCCGAGGCAGGAGGACCACUUGAGUCCAGGAGUUCGAGAUCAGCCUGGGCAACAUCGUGAGACCCCCCAUCUCUACAAAACAUAAAAAAUUAGCUGGGUAUGGUGGCACAUGCCUGUGAUCCCAGCUACUUGGGAGGCUGAGGUGGAAGGAUCACCUGAAACCAGGAGACUGAGGCUGCAGUGAGCUGUGAUGAGGCCACUACGUUCCAGCCUGGAUGACAGAAUACGUAUCCGACUAUACUGUGAAGAAAUAUUGACGUGAAAAAAGAACGCGGAGAUCUGAUAAAGCAACAGUUCAGCUCACGGCGAGGUCCUCCGCAGGAGGCGGUUGGUGGGAAGAGGCGAGAGAUCCUGCCCGUGCGUCCCACAUGGAGACGCCUGGAUUGGAAACUACCGAAAAAUGUUUCAAGGAACUCUCCCUGGGUGACACGCUGGUUUUCAGACAUUUGAUUCAGCUGCUGCAGUUUCCUCCUCCCUGACACGGGGACUGAACUGCAGGCCACGGCGAGCCAGCCAGGGAAACCACCUUCUCCAGCCACAGCCGGCGGGGCCCUGGGCUCGGAGCUGCUGCCGGUUCUGGAGGGAGAGACCCCAGCAAGGAGGUGGUGACUCACUGGGCCGCUCCUCCCCUCCCGCCCCGGCCCUCCCC